UUGAACGCUGGCGGCAUGCCUUACCCAUGCAAGUCGAACGGUAACGGGCCUUCGGGUGCCGACGAGUGGCGAACGGGUGAGUAAUACAUCGGAACGUGCCCGAUCGUGGGGGAUAACGAGGCGAAAGCUUUGCUAAUACCGCAUACGAUCUACGGAUGAAAGCAGGGGACCGCAAGGCCUUGCGCGGACGGAGCGGCCGAUGGCAGAUUAGGUAGGUGGUGGGAUAAAAGCUUACCAAGCCGACGAUCUGUAGCUGGUCUGAGAGGAUGAUCAGCCACACUGGGACUGAGACACGGCCCAGACUCCUACGGGAGGCAGCAGUGGGGAAUUUUGGACAAUGGGCGCAAGCCUGAUCCAGCCAUGCCGCGUGCAGGAUGAAGGCCUUCGGGUUGUAAACUGCUUUUGUACGGAACGAAAAGCCUUCUUUUAAUACAGGAGGGUCAUGACGGUACCGUAAGAAUAAGCACCGGCUAACUACGUG
rnacentral:rRNA from 1 species